GUCGAGGCUGCCUCGUGUUAAACCAAGACAGUGCUCGCUGUUCCUCUCAAAAAAAAAGGCAGAGCUCGCUGUUAGAUCCAUGGAGGCGCCGGCGACUGGUUCCACCCGCGGCGAAGACAUGGAGGCCCACGGCUUGGAAUCCCUUCUAGAUGCAGUCGACAGGUGCGCAAGCCUGUUUGCCUCGGUCGUCCUUUUGCGUUUUAUUUGUGCAUUAUUCGCGAUUUUGUCCGCGGUAAAGCAACUCUGAGACGAUGAGAUACCAUGUUUCCACUGCAAGAGGAAUUCGUUGCAGAGCAACCAAAUCCGGCGCCCCUUGCUGUACUGCAGCGGGGUGGAGCGAUUUAGGAAUUGUGCAUCCGGCUGCGUACAGGACGUGGGGAACCGCAGAUCGCACAGAAGUGUCUGCCAGGCCAGGGGAAGGAAGAACACUACCCCGACGCAGUCCGCGCAGUCAACCGGGAAGGUUAACCCAGAGGCUCCAGGCUGUACGAAGAGGUUGAGGCUAGUCAGUGCUCCACUGGACAGAACCCCAUGCCUGUUGAGGAUGAGCACGUUGGAGAAAUUAAUUAGGCAGUAUGCAGAAGCUUUCUAAGUGUGUGAUUAAGCCUGAGUUGGGGAUAAGCUUUGACUCGCUAGGUGAACACUUCUACAACCUAUGUUCAUGGGAGAUCAGAACAGAGCCAUGGAGGACGCUAUCAAUAAAGUGUUCCCGGAUACUUCCAUAGUUACAUGAAAAUGUUCAGAAUGCACGCGGACCUUCUCAAUUUUGGAUUUAGACUGGACUGCAAGAUUAGGGUACUGAGCCCGAAGGUAGUUUGCAAACUCCAUCGGUCCUAGUUCCAGGACAGGCGAAGCGAGAUUCAUAUUUGUGACUUGUGGGAGUGGUGGGUGAAUGCCGGCACUUGCUGUACAGGGGAGGUGAGGCUUCGCCUAUGCAAGAAGAGGAUAUGAGGUUCCGGUAGAUUCUUUUUUCUUUUGAACUGGGCAUGCUCAUCUUAAUCGCUCAGCCCAAUAGCCACACGUAUGUGUGAGCUGGGCAAAACAUGUGUAUGAUAUCCAAAACAUGGUAUACACUCAAGUCGAAUGUCA